rnacentral:misc_RNA from 1 species
AGUUUUUCUUUAUUUUUGAUUAUUUCCUUUUGUUCUACAUCAAGUAAUUAAACAUGCAGUAAUACCAUUCAACAAGCAAUAGGAGAAACGCCUUACUUUGAUAGAAUUAGAGAAAAGAGGAAAACAGGAUCACAUCACAAGAUCUGGUAACCUGAAGGCGUUAUAACUAAACCAAACUUGAAUGCGAAGAUACCUUGUUGAGAUCUUUUCUCCA